rnacentral:rRNA from 1 species
CGAACGGGUGAGUAACGCGUGAGGAACCUGCCUCAAAGAGGGGGACAACAGUUGGAAACGACUGCUAAUACCGCAUAAGCCCACGGCUCGGCAUCGAGCAGAGGGAAAAGGAGUGAUCCGCUUUGAGAUGGCCUCGCGUCCGAUUAGCUAGUUGGUGAGGUAACGGCCCACCAAGGCGACGAUCGGUAGCCGGACUGGGAGGUUGAACGGCCACAUUGGGACUGAGACACGGCCCAG